rnacentral:rRNA from 1 species
CCUACGGGAGGCAGCAGUGAGGAAUAUUGGUCAAUGGACGAGAGUCUGAACCAGCCAAGUAGCGUGCAGGAUGACGGCCCUAUGGGUUGUAAACUGCUUUUAUAAGGGAAUAAAGUGAGUCUCGUGAGACUUUUUGCAUGUACCUUUAUGAAUAAGGACCGGCUAAUUCCGUGCCAGCAG